rnacentral:tRNA from 1 species
GCCUCGAUAGCUCAGCUGGAUAGAGCAACUGACUUCGAAUCAGUAGGUCGUAGGUUCGAAUCCUACUCGAGGCGCCA